rnacentral:lncRNA from 1 species
UGAGUUCUAUAAUCAAAUCAACCUAGCAGAAGAGGGGGGAAAGAAAAAAAGAAAAGAGGGAGAACUUACGAUCCACAGUAAGUGACACCUUUGAUUUCAAUGAAAUCAGGUUUUCCGAUGCUGAAUAGGUUAAAAUAUGCAUCCACUUCUUCUGCAUUCCACCCUUUAACAAGUGUCAAACGAUAGACAGAAGAAAAAAAGAAAAGAGGGAGAGCUUACGAUCCACAGUAAGUAACACCUUUGAUUUCAAUGAAAUCAGGUUUUCCGAUGCUGAAUAGGUUAAAAUAUGCAUCCACUUCUUCUGCAUUCCACCCUUUAACAAGUGUCAAACGAUAGACAGUUCUUUGCU